UGUCGCCCGGGACGAUAGUGACGGUACCGGGAAAGGAAGCCACGGCUAACCACGUGCCAGCAGCCGCGGUAACACGUGGGUGGCGAGCGUUAUUCGGAUUCACUGGGCGUAAAGGGUCCGCAGGGGGCCCGCCGCGCCCGCCGUGAAAGCCCAUGGCUCAACCAUGGGACUGCGGCGGGUACGGGCGGGCUGGAGUGCGCGAUGGGCAGACGGAAUUCCGGGUGUAGCGGUGGAAUGCGUGGAUAUCCGGAGGAACACCGAUGGCGAAGGCGGUCUGCUGGCGCGCGACUGACCCUCAUGGACGAGAGCGUGGGUAGCGAACAAAAGUAGAUACCCUGGUAGUUCACGCCCUAAACGUUGUUUGCCAGGCGUGCCCCGGUCGGCCCGGGGCGCGUCCAACCCAACGCGGUAAGCACACCGCCUGGGGACUACGGCCGCACGGCUAAAACUCAAAAGAAUUGACGGGGGCCCGCACAAGCGGUGGAGCAUGUUGCUUAAUUCGAGGCAACGCGAAGAACCUUACUCAGGUUUGACAUCGGAGGCACCGGCCCGAAACGGCCGUUCCGGCAACGGACCUCCAGACAGAUGCUGCAUGGCUGUCGUCAGCUCGUGCCGUGAGGUGUUCGGUUAAGUCCGGCAACGAGCGCAACCCAUGCCGCCAGUUGCCACCGGGUGAUGCCGGGGACUCUGGCGGGACCGCCCGUGUCAAGCGGGAGGAAGGCGUGGACGGCGUCAAGUCCGUAUGGCUCCUACGCCUGGGGCCGCAAACGUGCUACAAUGGCCGGUACAGAAGGACGCUUGGCCGCGAGGCCCGGCAAAUCCCCAAAGCCGGCCCCAGUUCGGAUUGCAGCCUGCAACUCGGCUGCAUGAAGCCGGAAUCGCUAGUAAAGGGGCAUCAGCCACGGCCCCUCGAAUACGUUCCCGGGCCUUGUACACACCGCCC
rnacentral:rRNA from 1 species